rnacentral:rRNA from 1 species
UUGUUCCUACGGGGGGCAGCAGUGGGGGAUAUUGCACAAUGGGGGGAACCCUGAUGCAGCGACGCCGCGUGGGUGAAGAAGCGCCUCGGCGCGUAAAGCCCUGUCAGCAGGGAAGAAAAUGACGGUACCUGAAGAAGAAGCCCCGGCUAACUACGUGCCAGCAGCCGCGGUAAUACGUAGGGGGCAAGCGUUAUCCGGAUUUACUGGGUGUAAAGGGAGCGUAGACGGAAUUGCAAGUCUGAUGUGAAAAUCCGGGGCUCAACCCCGGAACUGCAUUGGAAACUGUAUUUCUAGAGUGUCGGAGG